UCUUCGGCAUCUGCAUUCACCAGCAGCAACACAUUCAGUAAAUGUCAGAUAACGACCUAAAAAAACCCUCUGCAGUCUGCACCGUUUUCUCUUAGUUAAUGCAUGUUUGCUAUGUUGAUAUGGUAUGGUCAUGUUUGUCUAUUUUUUGGCGACAAAUCAAUAGGAUUUGGCAGAGGCCGAAUCUUGAUACUCAACCCAAUUGCUAGUUAAACUUCCAUCUAUAUCCAGGACGUACAGGAAAAAGAAAGAUCUUGCAUCUGACGAAAUGUUCGUUGCAAAGGACAGUGAAGUGGCGGCUACCUUUGUCUAACAUGCCUGUAAUUAACCCACAUCUAUGGCUAUCGAGAAUUUCAAGGCACACAACCACCUUUUCUGAGUGUUCUUUACUAUACUGGAGAGAUAUCUAGCACAAGCUCUACAUUUUGAUCAAUGCAUUGCACGGAGAACAUAUCAACCAGUCCUUCUAGUUCAUGCCUUAAGUCAAACUCAGCCUCUUCAAGAAUAAGUUUCCCAGCUUCAACCUGUGAAAAGCAUGGAAAUGUGUCAAAUUCCUUAAUGCAGUGUAGCAAAGCAAAUUUGGUUGACAUUACAUGAACCCUUGACUUUUGUCAAGGUCUCUAGGUAACACCCACAGCAGCAGCGCAUGUGGAGUUCUCCAGCGAUGUUGGCUGCUCCGUCAAUUAGUUUCCGGCAAGAGGCAAUGUCUCCGGUGAAGGGCGACGCAGCUGCUGUUUUUCAGCGACUUCUCUGUCGACUGAUUUGGGUGUUUUUUGUUGAAGCUUCAUAUUUAGGCUUCCUUUUUUUUCCCGGCACUCUCCUAUCAUCCAGCAGUCUAUCCGUUUACUUCCGGCAGCAGGAAACCAGGUUUCAGAUUAAGUUGGUCUUAAGAGAAAAAGCAACUACUAAGCAUAGAUUCUAUGUCUUGAAGAGUACUUCAGAAACCUCACCAGUGGGAGCUUUUUAAGAUUCAGGAAAAAAGUGUCAA